rfam:Camelus ferus unplaced genomic scaffold scaffold123644, whole genome shotgun sequence.
GAAGGGAUAGCUCAGUGGCAGAGCAGCAUGCCUAACAUGCACAAGGUCCUGGGUUCAAUCCCCAGUACCGCCA